UGAUAUGAAGCUUGGCUGGAACAUCUGU
rnacentral:piRNA from 1 species